GUACCACUACCGCGUUGGUGACUACCUCACAAGUUUAUUGAUCUAUGCUUGAUUUAUGAGGGAAUAGCAAUAGUUCUCGUGGAAGUAUACCGAGCUUGUACUCGGAAAUGGAAACGGGAGCAGCCAAUUCCCACCCUGGACUUCCAGGUCAUAAACUAAGGUAAAACGGCGUGGCGGUGGGCUA
rnacentral:other from 1 species